GUCGUCAGUCAACUGUUCGCGUUGUGUGAGUGAGGAAGUGUGUAGCUGCGCUCGCUCGGAAAAAUAAUUAUCCUCAUUAAUGGAAUUCUAAAACUUGACUGAAGGAUAAUGGUGUACAGAGGAGAGAAGUGAAGCGUAGUGCUAAGUCCGGCUACAUUCUACAUCGGCUGAUACGUCGCCAAG